AGCAGCCGCGGUAAUUCCAGCUCCAAUAGCGUAUAUUAAAGUUGUUGCAGUUAAAAAGCUCGUAGUUGAAUUUCGGGGUCAGUAGGUCGGUCGUGCCACUGGUAUGAACUGGUUUUACUGAUUCCUCCCUCUUGAAGAACUGUAAUGCCAUUAAUUUGGUGUUGCAGGGAAUCAGGACUGUUACUUUGAAAAAAUUAGAGUGUUUAAAGCAGGCUUUAGCUUGAAUACAUUAGCAUGGAAUAAUGAAAUAGGACGUUUGAUCCUAUUUUGUUGGUUUCUAGGAUUGACGUAAUGAUUAAUAGGGAUAGUUGGGGGCAUUAGUAUUCAAUUGUCAGAGGUGAAAUUCUUGGAUUUAUUGAAGACUAACUACUGCGAAAGCAUUUGCCAAGGAUGUUUUCAUUAAUCAAGAACGAAAGUUAGGGGAUCGAAGACGAUCAGAUACCGUCGUAGUCUUAACCAUAAACUAUGCCGACUAGGGGUCGGAUGAUGUUAAUUUUUUUAAUGUACUCAUUCGGCGCCU
rnacentral:rRNA from 1 species